rnacentral:rRNA from 1 species
UACGGCCAUACCAUGCUGCUGAAUAUACCGGUUCUCGUUAGAUCACCGAAGUCAAGCAUCAUUGGACGCGGUCAGUACUUGGGUAGGUGACCACCUGGGAACACCGCGUGCCGUU